CGGAUUGUAGUCUGCAACUCGACUACAUGAAGCUGGAAUCGCUAGUAAUCGCGAAUCAGAAUGUCGCGGUGAAUACGUUCCCGGGUCUUGUACACACCGCCCGUCACACCAUGGGAGUCGGGAAUGCCCGAAGUCAGUGACCCAACCGGAAGGAGGGAGCUGCCGAAGGCAGGCUCGAUAACUGGGGUGAAGUCGUAACAAGGUAAC
rnacentral:rRNA from 1 species